GACGAACGCUGGCGGCGUGCCUAAUACAUGCAAGUAGGACGCAGUUGCGAACGCGUGAGUAACGCGUAGGUAACUACCUAUUAGAGGGGGAUAACUCUUGGAAACGAUAGCUAAUACCGCAUACUAGUAGAUGGACCUGCGUUGUAUUAGCUAGUAUGUAGGGUAAUGGCCUACCUAGGCAACGAUACAUAGCCGACCUGGGGAGGGGACCGGCCACAAUGGGACUGGGGCACGGCCCAGGAUGCUACGGGAGGCAGCAGUAGGGGCUCUUCGGCAAUGGGGGGAAGCCUGACCGAGCAACGCCGCGUGAGUGAAGAGGGUUUUCGGAUCGGAAAGCUCUAUUGAUAAGGAAGCGGUACUUAACCAAAAAGGGACGGCUAACUACGUGCCAGCAGCCGCGGUAAUUC
rnacentral:rRNA from 1 species